GAAGAUGUUCACGUUGGAAAUUAGGGUUACUAUUUUAGAAAACACCAAAUUAGUCUUUGUGAGUGGUCCCAAAAAGAAAAAGAGGGAGAAGAAUCUUCUCAAACUCGUGAUCUGUUGGUGCGAAUCGAUAGUCACAGACCAAAGGUGAGAGUCUUGUGAAUCUGUAGAGAGUGCGAUUUUGUUGUCUCUACAAAUAUUCAAUCACUCAAAGGAAACGACACAACGUAUUAGACGAAGCUCGACACGAGGAACACAUGAAGGGUUUUCUAUAAUUGUUAAUGAAGGAAAUUGCCACUGUUGGUUGUGAGUGACUAUGGAGCGGGGCUUUUUAGGAUUUUUUUUCUGUAAUUAUUUUUGUCAUUGUUAAUUGGGGAUUAUUUUAAUUGCAAUUUGUUGUACCUAUGUGGAAGUGGAGUUGGUUACUUUUGUCUCAUUAUUAUUGUGUUUGAUGUAUUGUAUGCAAGGAUGUCAUUCACUGUUGCUUUCUUCCAUUUGGGGCAUUUUAUAAAUACACCAAACCUAAAGUAUAAUGGCCACGGGAAAAAUGUAUACAAGAAUGUAGAUGCUGACAAAUGGUCCUUUUUUUAGGCUUUAGGCAUCGUAAGGAGUGAUUUGGGGUACCAUGGUGAAGUUCAAAUGUGGUGGAAGCUUAAGGAAUUGUCCCUUGAAGAUGGAUUGUUUUACUUUGUGGGUGACAAAGAUGCAUCAUUGUUAAGUGAUUGUACUAAACAAUACACUCUGUUAUGGUCAUUCAGUGUUGCACUGACAAAAAAAUGCAAAGAAAACACUUGUCAAACGAAGCUGGACAGACUGACCCUUGAUGUAGAACCUAGAUUUCAAAGAUUCUACAUGUGUCUUGAUGGAUGCAAGAAGGCUUUUAAAUCUGCAUGCAGGCCUUGUUAUUGGUCUAGAUGGUUGUCAUCUUAAGAAUAAGUAUGGAGGUAUCUUUUUAGCAGCUAUUGCAACUGACCCAAAUGAUCAGUAUUUGCCACUGGCCUUUGUGGUUGUUGAGUCAGAGAAUAAGGAAAGUUGAACAUGGUUUAUGACUUUAUUCUUGAAUGACAUUGAUCAUGAUCGCAGUCAAAAAUGGGUUUUAAUAUCUGAUCAACAAAAGGGACUAGUUCCAACUUUUGAGGAGAUGCUUGGGGAUAAUGAACAUUGUUUCUGAUUAAGGCAUUUAUACAAUAAUUUCAAUAAGAGAUUUGGAGGAGGCAUUGUCAUGAGGGAUCUAAUGAUGGGUGCAACAAGAGCUACCUACCAUGAAGCAUAUUUAGAGAAAAUGGCUCAACUAAAGGAGAUCAAUGAAGCUGCACAUAAAUACUUGGUUGACAUUGGUGAACAACAUUGGUCCAAGCAUGCUUUCAAGACCUAUGCAAAGUGUGAUGUUCUCAUGAACAAUCUAAGUGAAUCCUUCAAUGCUAUUAUUCUAUUGGCUAGGGAAAAACCAAUAGUUACUAUGCUGGAAUGGAUUCAAACUUACUGUAUGACUAGAUUUGCUACUAUGAAUGAAACAACUCAUAAAGUUGAAGGGAAAAUAAUGCCAAUUGCCGAAGCCAAGGAAGAGGCUCGGCAAGGAAGAUCAACACAGUGGGAGUUGGUUUGCUUCAUUUUCAAUAGACAACAUAUGUGAAGUUACUCACAACUUAUUCAUUGAAAGGUUUGUUGUUGAUUUGAGCAAAACUUCGUGUUCUUGCAACUUUUGGCAGUUGGUGGGAAUCCCCUGCAGGCAUGCUAUAGCUGCAAUCAAUUACAAAGGAGAGCAUGCAGAAGACCAUGUUGACAAAUAUUACCAUAGGGAUACUUACAAGCUAUGUUACAGUCAUAGUAUUACAACAAUCGAUGGUAGGAAAAAAUGGUCUAAGACUAAUGAUCCUGACUUAUUGCCUCCUAAUUACAAACGUGCAGCUGGUAGACCAAAGAAGUUGAGGCGAAGAGAAGUUGAUGAAGAUUAGAAUGACCAUAAACUAAGGGGGACAAAUACAACCAAUUGAUGUUGGAGAUGCCAUAAGCUUGGACAUAACAAGAGGACUUGCAAAAAUUCCCCCAUUCAUCCAAAUCCAGCAAAGACUCGUGUUGAAGGUGAGGGAGCACCCAGUGAAGAACAACAAAGUCAUGUUCAAGUUGGACCAAAUGGAACACAAGUGCAAACUGAAGCGAACACCAAAGGUGAUAAUGGAACACAUGAAUGGAAAUUGAUGCAGUGAUUAAUCUGCUAACACAAGCUAGCCAAACAAAUCCAAAUAAGGUAAAAUCUACACCAUUUUGAGUUAGAAGCUAUUGUGUAUUUCACUUUCAUUUUCAGUCUUUAAUGGUCCCUUUACACAAAAAAUCAAACCUUGUUUCAAAGAAAACUGGUCCUACAUCUGCAUCUACAUCUACAGAUAAUCCUGGUAUUGCAAAGAAAGUGAGUUGUGCAACAACAAAAAAGAAAAAAGAGACCUUGAAGAAACCUCACCUGUCUGAACAAAGUGCACAAUGUAGCAACACUGUUUCAGGAGAAGACAUGGACACUCCGUAGCUUAUUGAACUCUUGAAGAGGAAGAUGGGGUAGUCUUUUUUAGGAUUAAGAAUAUGUUAGAUCUGGGUUUUUUUGGCUGGUCAUUUGGAAUGUAUUUUGAUAGCAUUUGGUUGUUCUAGAUGUUGAGCACAUGUUAUUGUUUUGAGAUGUAUACUUUAUUAUUAUUGUCAUGACUUCACUGCAUGACAACUUUAUUUAUGAUUUACUAGUUUUAAAAUUUUACCAUUAAAAA